rnacentral:rRNA from 1 species
UACGGGAGGCAGCAGUGGGGAAUAUUGCGCAAUGGGCGAAAGCCUGACGCAGCCAUGCCGCGUGUGUGAAGAAGGCCUUAGGGUUGUAAAGCACUUUCAGUAGGGAGGAAAGGUGUAAGGCUAAUACCCUUGCGCUGUGACGUUACCUACAGAAAAAGCACCGGCUAACUCCGUGCCAGCAGCCGCGGUAA